rnacentral:snoRNA from 1 species
UUGCAAAUAUUCUUGCUGUUCUGAUUUUAUAAUAAACCAGACAGGCUGAACAUUGGCUACAUCAAGACCAUACACGUGUCCCCAGACCUAGGCCUUUUUUUUCCCUGCUCUGUUUUUUUUUUCCUCAGUUUUUAUU